rnacentral:rRNA from 1 species
GAUGAACGCUGGCGGCGUGCCUAAUACAUGCAAGUCGAGCGAACAGACCAGGAGCUUGCUCCUUCGACGUUAGCGGCGGACGGGUGAGUAACACGUAGGUCACCUACCUAUACGACUGGGAUAAUCUCGGGAAACCGGAGCUUAUACCGGAUAAUAUUUCGAACCGCAUGGUUCGAUAGUGAAAGUUGGCUUUGCUAUCACUUAUAGCUGGACCUGCGCCGUAUUAGCUAGUUGGUAAGGUAACGGCUUACCAAGGCAACGAUACGUAGCCGACAUGAGAGGGUGAUCGGCCACACUGGAAGUGAGACACGGUCCAGACUCCGACGGGAAGCAGCAGUAGGGAAUCUUCCGCAAGGGGCGAAAGCCUGACGGUGCAACGCCGCGUGAGGGAUGAAGGUCUACGGAUCGGAAAGCGCUGUUAUUAGGGAAGAACAAACGUGUAAGUAACUGUGCACGUCUUGACGGUACCUAAACAGAAAGCCACGGCUAACUACGUG